UAUCGACAACGUUUAUGACAAGGGAGACAUUGUGACUCUUAGAUACCACUUGACGUCGCAUGGAAAAGAUUGCAGUGUCCUUGCAACUGUCCGAGCAAUCAUCGUUUGGAAAAAGAUCAAGGGCAAAUACUUGAUUCACAAUCUUGUUUCAAAUGUGCGAGAGAACCUCUGUCCGCCGACGUCAUGAUUGUUGAACUAAACAUUGGAGAAGACAAGACACUACAUUUAUUUGUCAUAUUAUGUAGCCUGAUUUUCUAGAUAAAAUGAGCUUUGGAGACCAUAACCGUUGUAGACUUUCAUUUUGAAACAUCUUUAUUACAAAAUUUUCUUGUCUCCGU